UACGAAGGGGGGCUAGCGUUGCUCGGAAUCACUGGGCGUAAAGCGCACGUAGGCGGAUUGCUAAGUCAGGGGUGAAAUCCUGGAGCUCAACUCCAGAACUGCCUUUGAUACUGGCGACCUUGAGUCCGGGAGAGGUGAGUGGAACUGCGAGUGUAGAGGUGAAAUUCGUAGAUAUUCGCAAGAACACCAGUGGCGAAGGCGGCUCACUGGCCCGGUACUGACGCUGAGGUGCGAAAGCGUGGGGAGCAA
rnacentral:rRNA from 1 species